CAAUAGCGUAUACUAAAGUUGUUGCAGUUAAAAAGCUCGUAGUUGGAUUUCUGCGGGGGCGGGGCGGCCGGUCACAACUCGUGACUCGAGCUAGCACUUCCCCUGCAUCCUGCCGCGAACCGUGCUACCAUUAGUUUGGUGGCGCUGGGGAUCGGCUCGUUUACUUUGAGAAAAAUAGAGUGUUCAAAGCAGGCCACACGCCUUGAAUAAGUUAGCAUGGAAUAAUGAUAAAGGACUUCGGUUCUAUUUUGUUGGUGUUCGGGACUGAAGUAAUGAUUGAUAGGGACAGUUGGGGCGGUCCGUAUUCCAAAGCGAGAGGUGAAAUUCUUAGACCUUCGGAAGGCGAACAGCUGCGAAAGCGUUCCGCAAGGAUGUUCCCUUUG
rnacentral:rRNA from 1 species